rnacentral:lncRNA from 1 species
UGCGUGUCAACCAUGUGUGUCUAGAUGUAGAUUACUGAUUACAUGGCAAUUGCAUGUCCAGUGUAUUUCAGUCUCAUGACAUUCACAUGUUAAUUGAUGCCGAACACGUGUAUUCACAUGUUGAUGCUAGAGACAGUAUUAUAAAACAAGCGUAAAUGCAAUGUGUAAUUAUAGACAUGUAUCUCCCCUUUCCAAAUAGUCUUUCUUAGCUGGCACUAAUUUAAUCCUACUUCUCUGUUUUUUAGGAUUUUCUAGGACUCCUCUAGCUGCUAGAGCUUACUUCCUACCGGAGCUCGUGCCAUCUACAAAUUGUCCGUACAGCACAACUCCCACACAGCCGUCCAUUCUUGAGCUUUUCCCACACUAACAACUCUCUGUUCAGGAACUGACUAUGUCCUCACAUCUUCCUCACAUAUUAUCAAUACCGCUUUCAGAGGCAAAGGGAGUGAAAAGUAAAAAUGGAGGUGGGCAGAAAUCUAAAUUCUUUUUCUUCUCUUUGUUAAGGAGGAAAAUCGAUGGUUCAACCGUACGUCCAAAGGGCCGUCGAUUUAGACACAGCCCUGGAGUCCAGCCCCCUCCUUGCAUCAACGAGAAAACUGAGGAUUGGAAAAAUCGUGGCUUGUCUGAGGCUACAACAUUAAUGGCAUUGGAUGUGAAUGCAAAUCCUUUGACUCCAAGAGACUGAGUCUUCCUUCAGCAAUCUGAAGUGGAGUUGCCAUCUUUUUUUUUUUCAAAGCUAGAAGUCAGAAGUAUCCAAAGUCACUUAGAAUCCAAAGACUGAAGAACUUUGAAGAGACUGAAAACUGUCAAGGGAGUGAUGCUUUCCAUUCUCCUCAUCACAUAAAUUUCUGCUUGGCUCUUCAUAAAGAUUCAGGACUUUGAUCUCCACCAGUGAGGAGAAAGAGGACUUGGGGACUGAGGUUAUACUUGAUCAUUAUAAUCACAUAGUAUUGGCUUCUAGUUUAUAUGAAGUUAUUUGAGUUCUUUCUCUCUACUGUGUUGCAUUUGUAUAUUACCUCUGCUUACCAAACUUUACAUUAAUUUAUAUAUGUGUAUUUUUCCAAAAAUAUAAUCAAAUUUGUUGUUCCUUAGAAGUACUAUUACAUUAUGCUUAUUACUAUACUUUGUUUAGAUGCUUCCCAAUCUAUGAGCAAGUAUUUUGUGUUCAAUUCUUUAUUGCCAUAAAAAAUAUUGCUACGGAUGUUUUAGUGCCUGAGCUCUUUCUUUUGUCAUUGACUUCCUCAAAUCCAGUGUACAGCAGUAGAAUCUCUUAGUCAAAGGAUGUGGACAUUUAAGUCAUUUUCUUCACAUAAUUCCAAAUUUCUUUCUAAAAUAUUUGUAUUAAUUCACAUCUCUACAAGAAUGCAUCAGUGUAUCCAUCUUUCUACAAUUCUGACAUUGAUUAUUCCCAUUCAUCUGCCCAUUUCCUGGGUAUGAUUGUUUUAAUUUGCAUUUUUCUUACCUUUAGUGUCUGGAGAAGUCUUUUAUAUCGUUGGUAAUAACUUGCAAUUCUUUUGAGAUCUCUUUAUUCAUAUCCUUUGGCUAUUUGUCUUUUGAGGAAUGGCCUUUUCUGACUCUAAAAUUUGAAAAGAGCUAUUAAAUACUUAAUAAAUAAAAGACUUGAAAAAUGAAUUUGUGCUAU